UUAAGGAACUUUUCCAAUGCUCGAAAGAGUGAGAAAAUUAGCCAGAGUGUUUUCUUUACGAAAACUUUUAUCUGCUGUAAAAAGGCAGAUGAAUAAGGACUGGGCAAGACCGGUGCCAGCCGCCGCGGUAAUCCCGGCGGUCCAAGUCGCAUCCACAAUUAUUGGGUCUAAAACAUUCGUAGCUUGUUUUGUAAGUCUCUUGUGAAAUCUCAUAUCUCAAGUAUGAGGCGUGCAAGAGAUACUGCUUGACUAGAGACUGGAAGACGCAAAGAGUACGAUGGAGGUAGUGGUAAAAUAUGUUAAUCUUCAUCGGACUAACAAUGGCGAAGGCACUUUGCGAGUACAGAUCUGACAGUGAGGAAUGAAGGCUAGGGGCGCAAAAGGG
rnacentral:rRNA from 1 species